GACGAACGCUGGCGGCGUGCUUAACACAUGCAAGUCGAACGGAAAGGCCCUGCUUGCAGGGUACUCGAGUGGCGAACGGGUGAGUAACACGUGGGUGAUCUGCCCUGCACUUCGGGAUAAGCCUGGGAAACUGGGUCUAAUACCGGACAGGAGCCAUUUUUAGUGUGAUGGUUGGAAAGUUUUUUCGGUGUAGGAUGAGCUCGCGGCCUAUCAGCUUGUUGGUGGGGUAAUGGCCUACCAAGGCGGCGACGGGUAGCCGGACUGAGAGGGUGGACGGCCACAUUGGGACUGAGAUGCGGCCCAGACUCCUACGGGAGGCAGCAGUGGGGAAUAUUGCACAAUGGGCGCAAGCCUGAUGCAGCGACGCCGCGUGGGGGAUGACGGCCUUCGGGUUGUAAACUCCUGUCGCUAGGGACGAAGCUUUUUGUGACGGUACCUAGAUAAGAAGCACCGGCUAACUACGUG
rnacentral:rRNA from 1 species